rnacentral:rRNA from 1 species
GACGAACGCUGGCGGCGUGCCUAAUACAUGCAAGUUGAACGGAAAGGCCUUGUUCUUGUGGGGUGCUCGAGUGGCGAACGCGUGAGUAUCACGCGAGUAACCUGUCCUUGACUUUGGGAUAACUCCAGGAAACUGGAGUUAAUAUCGGACAUGAGCACCUGCUGCAUGGUGGGUGUGGGAAAGUUUCGGCGUUUCAGGACGGACGGGCGGUCCAGCAUCUUGUUGGCGGGGUUGUGGGUUACAAACGCGUCGACGGGUAGCCAGCCUGAGAGGGUGACCGGCCACAAUGGGACUCAGAAGCGGGCAGUACUCCUACGGGAGGAAGCGGUGAGAAAUAGUGCACGAUGGGCGGAAGCCUGAUGCAGCAACGCCGCGUGCGGGAUGACGGCCGUCGGGGUGUAAACCGCUUUCGCCUGUGACGAAGCGUGAGUGACGGUAAUGGGUAAAGAAGCACCGGCUAACUACGUG